rnacentral:tRNA from 1 species
GGAUCUUUAGCUCAGUUGGUUAGAGCAAUCGGCUCAUAACCGGUUGGUCCGGGGUUCGAGUCCCUGAAGGUCCA